AAGGGAAGAAGGCACCCCAGUGGAACCAAGAAUAGUUAGGGCAUGUGUUGAUAAGAGCCCAGGAACUCUAGUCAGAAAGAAAAAGAAAGUUCAGAAGAAGAAGGAUUAUCAGGAAAAAAGUUGCAGCAAAAGGCUAUUACUGAAUACUUUUCGUUACCGGAGGGUGCGUGAAGCGGAGAGGCGGCUGCCGAGUGUGCAAGCCUGUCACAGCGCAGCAAGGAUUUUCCAAGAGGUGGCGGUGACUGGCCCUUCCCCACCUCCUGGCCGGGGAGCUGGCUCUUCCACUGCCCUGAGCCCAAAUCUAGACCUGACUUGGAGGCACAGUCUCGCAGGCUCUUGCUCCCUGUGCCCAGUAGCAGUUUGAGUCUGGGACACUCCCCAGGGCCAUCUGGGGCUGCCCAGGCACUACAGCCAGCAGAAGACGCUACUGGUGUCCCUGAUGUUUGGUCAUUUCCAAGGCCAAUAACUACAAUGGUUCUCCCACACCUGGAAGCUAAUGAGUAAUGAGCGCCAUUAAUGCUUAUUUCAAAUGUAAAAAACCUUGAGGUAAUGUACUAAAUUGUUCAGAAGGUUGUUUUCUUAGUUGAAUGCUACAGGAUUUUCUUUAGCCAUCCGGAGUUCCUGCCUUCGUCCCAGUGCCGGUAAAGACCAAGGUGGAAGAAUUUCCAGUGUUGCUGAAAACCGGACAAGACUUUGGCUGAGAAAUGGAUGAGACUUCGAAUCAAGCUAGCUGCCUGCAGAAUUUACCUGGACUGUGAUUUAAGCUAGCUGCCUGCAGAACUUACCUGGACUGUGAGUUAAUCUAUUGAGACACUGCUUUACCUGGACUGAGACAACAAACUGUAAUCUACAACAAAUUGUAACUCGGUAUCUUUGCAAAUGGUGUCAUUGCUGAUAUAAUUUUUCCAAGGGCUUCUUGCAUGGAGCCAUCAAUUGGCUUGGUAUUGUGGCAUUUUGUAUCCUC
rnacentral:lncRNA from 1 species